rnacentral:tRNA from 1 species
GACUCCGUAAUGUAAUGGUCAGCGCACUCGUCUGGAAUAUGGGAGGUGUAGGUUCAAAUCCUACCGGUGUCU